AUGAAGCAAGGCAUCGCACCCAUCCCUUUUCCAGACUCUACUUAUAACCAACACAUGACUCCACUGACUGUUCACAAAGACCUCCUAGACGCCUGGCAUUCUGCUGGAUGCUGUCAGUGCAUGAUGAAGAAAAUCAACACCCACAAGAAGCUUAUACCAGGUAGAAACCGAGAAGAAUCUGAAAAAUUGAAUCACAACACGUCCGGUGGCAGCAAGCUGGAAGAGGAAAAGAAAAGACUCCCAGGAGCAUGAGUAGUAGUAAGAGAGGGAAGGCCUGUUGCUCAGCCCAUCAGGUGACUUUGUCGGUGACCCGGCAUUCCAGCAUCAGGCCCUAGGUCAAGUUCAGGAAGAAGGUAGUCAUGUGGCAUUUAGGCAUAUGGAGGUUGUUUAAGAAAGACCUUUGAUAAUGACAUCGUGGAGAGGUAUAGCCUGGUACCAACUACAUGCCUCCUGCUGUCUCCAAAAUUUGGCAGAAUGUCUAUGUUUGGCAAUUUCUAUAAAAUAAUAUAAAAUAUCCAAAAAUGCAUGUACGGCCAUACCACCCUGU
rnacentral:lncRNA from 1 species